GCCAAUCUCUGGGCCCGGCAACAGGGUCUGGAGGCGCCCUCGCCGCGGGUCGGGCCAGCGAGAGCCGGGCUCCAGCGCCACCAGGCGGCCGCGCGGCGUCACUGCAGGCGCAGCCACGUCCCGCCCGCCCCGCGCACCCGCGCCGCGCGCCGCGCGCCGUCGAGGUCCCCGCGUCGCCGCCCUCUGCCUUUCGUAACUCGGCGCGGGGUCUGGGUUUGCAGGGCUUUGAAAACGAGCCCCCGGCGCCUUGCGCCCUCUCUUCCGGCGCUCUGGCCGCAGAUUCGGGUAGCGCCGGCCACCGUGGACCAUUUUUCUUUUUUUCCUGCUUCGCGGCGUUCCAGGAUUUUCUCUUCCGGGUCGCUCUGAGGCACGGUCAGGGGUGCCAGCAUUCCCGGUUUGGCAUUGAACCCUCGGACUCUGCAAACACCAUUGAGGGGAAGCCCCCUUUUGCGCGUGCGCCGCGCCUCCUGAGGCCGGGAGCUAAGUCGGGCUGGCAGGGCCAGGUGGCACAUAAGCUCUGCCUCUGGGUUUCUAUUUGGCGUCAUCCGUGUGCAGAGGCGGCUGAGAUUUCGGCAACACAACAGCCUGGCCUUGACUGCAGCUCCAUCCCCAGCUCGAAUGGAGCUCUUACCCACCCCGACCCCAGCUACAGCAUCCGGUGGAUGGGAGGGGCUGGAAUCAUGCAAACUUGUGCAAGAAAACCAUCAUACAUCACAGCGCGUGUCCUCAUCUUUCAACAAACAUGUAGCAUUCGGAUCCAUAGCCUGGGUCGUGGAAGCUACUCCUUCGGUGACAAUCCCCCUCCUUCUAAAUGUGGUGGAGCUGACAUUGUGAUCUGGGGAGGCAGGUGGCCCUCUUCGUCUGCAUUUUUCCCCCUCCAGAGGUUGCCUAGGAGGUUUGUGUAAUUGCCUUGUGCUCGGGAGGUCACAUCUCACUUGACGUUUGCAGAAACCAAGUUCAGAUGGGGCGCCUAUCACUCAUGGAAAACCCUUAAUACAGAAUAAUCUUCAGAAAUACUGAUGGUGAUUUAAAAAAAACGAUGUCUUCUUAGCAGCAAGGGCUAAAACUUUUCAACAGGGAAGAGGCAUUCAUUUUCUAUGGCUGCUAUAACAAAUGAGCACAAGCCUGGGGGCUGAAAACAGCAAAUUUAUUAUCUUCUAGCUCUGAGAAGAUGAGAAGCCCAAUGUGGGUCUCACUGGCUAAAAUCAAGCCAAGUCUUCACCACCAAAGACGGUGUUGCCAAUGUGAACUUUGCAGGAAAACAAAUCUGGUCACGGCUCCCUCCUUCUGGAGGCUCUUGCUGAGGUCCUUAUCCCCUGAAUAAAAAUGUCCAAGGAAACCAUGAAAAAGCACAUGCUUCCAAGCGACGGGGAAACACGGCCUCUCUCCUCUCCUUUCAAGCCGCGUGUCCACCAGGACAGCCACGGGCCCACACACCCUGCAGAGCCGUAUUUCUUUGCCCAGGAGAAGACAAACCGGCACUUAAUGCUAAGUUCCCAUUCAACCUGGGUUGGAUUCAAGCGAGUUAAACUGCAGUGCUGGUUGAUUUAGGAAAAGUUUGUAGCUUGACCCUGUCUGCCGCCCAGUGACACUUUGGUUUACGCUGAUGCUGAUUAGAGAGGGCUGUGGAGAUGGUUGGAUUUUCGAGCAUAAAUCAAUACACCUUCUAUGAGAAGGCGCUGCUGUAUAUAUAUGUUCAGACGGCAAGGACUUUUGGAAGACGCGCUGUUUGCCUGGGCAUGGUGGGGAUCUCCAAACAUAUAUACGAUGCAGUUUAUGACCCAAAGGAUUGAGACUCUGGAGAGACCGGCUGUCACAGGACACACCGAUGGAAGGAUGCAGUGAUGGUUUAGAGGAUUCCGGUUGUCAUAUCGAUUGGUUGCCUAAGAUGAGUCGAAGCUGCUUGAUAAUCGGUCGAGCUUCCUUAUCCAUCAUACCAGGGAUAAUCAUUCCUGCCCCGCUCCGUCUUUAAGGACGGUUACACAGUGGCUAACGUCCACUGCAUGCUAAAUGCGCUCCUGCCCUAUUUGAAAUGCUGUCCACACAUCAACUCAUUCCGUCUUCACAGCAUCUGGAAAAAUCGAUACGACAAUCCACCUGGUGCAGAUAAAGACAUUGAGGCAGAGAGUUUAAGUCAUGUGCUCAAGGUCACGCAGCACUUCCAUGGAUGGAGAUUAGGUCAAGAGCUGCCCAGGGCUUAUGACAAAACUCCUAGAAAGUUCCUUCUGUGUUGAAUCCAAGUCUGCCUGGAAUUCCUACCCAGUUGCUCAUGGUCCUAUGCUCCGGGUCUAAAUGAAGAAAUGCACCUGUUCUUCCCCAGGUCAGCCCUGCCCUUCAGUAGAGGCCACGUCUUCCCUCCCAUCCUCUGUAAUCUAAACAGCCUCAGUUCUUGAAGCCAUUUCACAUCUAUCCAGUUUGGAGAGGUCUUUAUGCUGCUGUUAUCUGAUGGGGAGACACUGUGUGGUCAGGAAGUGUCCUACAUAGCAUUAGUCAGACCAUUCCCCCAUCCUGAGGAGAAAAAAAAGCUCAUUUUGGGGGGAAUCAUCUUUUUAAGGCCACACUUGUGGCAUAUGGAAGUUCCCAGGCUAGAGGUCGAAUUGGAGCUACAGCUGCCAGCCUACACCACAGCCACAGCAAUGCAGGAUCCGAGCCGCGUCUGUGACCUACACUAUAGCUCACGGCAAUGCUAGAUCCUUAACCCACUGAGCGAGGCCAGGAAUCGAACCUGCAUCCUCGUGGAUACUAGUCGGGUUCAUUACCACUGUGCCACAACAGGAACACCCCAAAAGGCUCAUUUUUUGUAGACAGUGUUUCUUUGCCUCUUCUUAUACCAUUCCUGUAACAGUAAGACCCAUAAACAAAUCCUAUUAUCUUCAACAAUAAAAACAGCUAAAGUGUAUUAUGGCUUAUUACCUGCCCGUCACUGUUCUAUGAUUUAUGGUUUCAUUUACUUAAUCAUCACGACCUGGGUUAUGCUAUAGUUUGGCAUCUAUGGGUGAGAUGCUAUUUUUAUUGCUGUUCCAAUGAAGACAUAGGCAAGGAGUAGUUAGGACUUGACGCUCUGUUGCACAGCAUGUGAAUGUACAAUGACUAGUUAUUCAUAAGGAAUAACAACCUAUGCCAGUGGCUUGGAAGAGCAUUCACUUAAGAAACUCAUAGAGUAAUGGCUUUUAAUUGGUACUUUUAAUAUGUACUUGAUCCUUUUUUGUCCAAGCACCAUCUUGUCUGAUGAUUAUCUCUCAUGAUUCUCAGAUUUUAAGUUGCCUAUAGCAAGAAUGAGGUGCCUCCUGGAAUUCUGAUGAGACCAAUGCUCUGGGUAUGCUAGUCAGCUUCUGCUGAUACUCUGCCAGCCUGGCUGAUCGGGACCUGCCCCCGUGAUGAGCCAUGGUUCAGCAGGAGAAGGAGCCCUGGGUCAACAGGGACAGGCUCUCAGCUCAGGGAAUGCAGUUAUAUGUGUAUGAAAAUUUUCCUCUAAGUCCCCUCAAGGAUGAUCUCAGGGGUGAUAUUUUGUUGCUGUAACAUCUUACCCUGAAACCCUUAGAUAGAAAAAUAGACUGAUAGAUAGAUAGAUGAUACAGAAAAGUGAUAGAUACGGAUAUAGAGAUAGAUGGAUAUAGACAGGUGUCUCUAUGUAUCUAUGUCGCCAUCUAUGAAUCUAUGUCUGUCUGUCUGUCUGUAUCUAUCUAUGGCCUUUGCAGUUAUAAUAUCCAUAUUGUGAUGAACCACGAUGUCUGCAAAAAGGCAGUCCAGCUGGGUGAGUCAGCCCCAGGUGGGCUUUGCAGGCCGCAGCAUCCAGAGGCUUCAUCCUCCCGACCAUUCAUGGAAUGCACUCGGUCUGGAAGUCGUUAGGAGCGCAUAAGCCCAGAACGCCCUGAUGUCAUCUUUAAACGGUGACAUGAUUCCAGAGCGUAAAGCUGAACCUCACAUGACUUUCCCUAACUACAUGCUUAUGACUGACCCCAAAUUUCCAGCAGAUGCACUAAUCUUUUCACCCCUGCUGUGUUUGGAAGAGCCUCUGUGAUGCCAAAAUGCACAAAUGAGCUUGACUCGGACCAUUCUCAGCUGCUUACGGCAGCCUCUAGCUAACCCUUACCAGCUUAUUUCUAUUUGAGCCACUUUUUUGCAUCGUAAAUACUUAUGGUAUACGAUUAGCUGAAAAAAUACGGCACAGCAUUUUAUGUAGAGCAGCUCAACAACUUAAAAUAGGAAUGGAAAUAUGAUGGAAAUAGGUUCACUAAAAUAUUAAGUAGUUUUCUCUGGGUGGAUUUAUUUAUUUUUUUGUCUUUUGUCUUUUCAGGGCCGCACCCCCAGCAUAGGGAGGUUCCCAGGCUAGGGGUCUAAUCAGAGCUGUAGCCGCCGGCCUAUACCACAGCCACAGCAAUACCAGAUCCGAGCUGCAUCUACAGCCUACACCACGGCUCACAGCAACACCGGAUCCUUAACCCACCCAGCAAGGCCAGGGAUUGAACCCACAGCCUCAUGGUUCCUAGUUGGAUUCAUUUCCGCUGCAUCAGGACGGGAACUCCUGUUUUUCAAAAUAUGUUUAGUACCAUUUCUCUGGAUUUAAAAAAAAAAAGUCUACAAUGAUUCUAUUAAUAGCAUUUAUAUUCACAAGUCUGGGGCUAUUCAACGACUUUUACAUGGAUCUUAUGAGCACAAAAUGAGAUAACACAAGGAAGGCAGCUGAAGAAAAGGGGGGGGAGCAUUUUUGUGUUUAUGGUGCUUAAUGGACUUCAGAGGAAGCAACAAUAAAAUUUUAACUUAAAAAUUAUCCGAGAACAGAUUGUACCACCUCCACAGACAGGUGAUAACUGCGUGCCAAGUUAACACAUCCGCCUCCAGUUCUGCCUCAAACGAUGACGUGAGGCCUUAGAGGGCCUCGGAGCAAAACGGCAACGUGUACCUCAGAGGUGAGGCGUGCUCGGCCUCACGCCCCUGUGUCCAUCCAUUCACUUCACCUUGUCCGUGUCACUCCUUGGCCCAGUAGGGACGUUUUUGGCCCAUGAAUGUGCCCCGUGGCCAGGCUCCCCCUCCCAGCUGGUCCAGCCCUAAUGUUGGGGACUGUGCCCCCAGCACCGCGGGCAGUGCGGAGGGCCGGAGGCGGGCGAGCUCUGGGUCUUCCACUUUUCUCCACUCUGCUGUGCACGUGCGCUGAACGCCAUCUCUUUGAGUGAUGACAUUUGUCCGGGCCAGAUGCUCAGCCCCAGUCUCGCUUCCUCUUCUUUCGUGUCUCCUAAGGGGCGUAAUCCAGUGUCUAAAUAUAAACUGUCAUCUGAAAAUACAUACCCACUUCUGCCAGGGCUUUUAUUUUUCUCCCAGAUGAUGUUACCAAGGCUUCUAUUAAUAAAGGUAAGGCCAAGUGGCCAAA
rnacentral:lncRNA from 9 species